UUUUUUUUUUUUUUUUUUUUUUUUGGUCACAUACCUGAAAGCUGACUUUACUUAUAAAGAGUGCUUAAACUCUCUGGAGAACUACUUCCUUGGUUUUUCAUGGGAGCAAAUAUAUUGUCCUGAUAGACAAUAUAUGUUCAGGACGGGCAUAGAUAUUCCUGUUCAGAACAGGCAUAUUCUCUCCCCAUUCAGGAAGUUGGUGGGUUUUCAGCAUGUGAAUAUUGACUGUGUUGUCUUUUCUAAUUUUUUACUUACUACUUGUUUUUCCUCUUCUUCCACAGCAAUCAAUCAAUAAGAACAAGUCCCAGGACUUCAGACUAGGCUCAGAAUCUAUGACACAUUCUGAAAUGAGCAAACAACAGAGCCAUGAGGACCAAGGACACAUAAUGGAUACACAGAUGAGGAAGAACAAGCAAGCAGGCCGAAAAGUCACUCUAAUAGAGUAAAGAAUUGAAGAAAAGUUAAGAGAUGCCCAAAUGCACAGAGGUGAAAAUGACAAAUUAAGCCAAAUGGAAUUUCUCUUCGGAGUUCAGAAUUUUCAGAUACUAAGAAGGAAGAAAGGAUCCACUACUUCUUGUUCUUAUGAAUGACUCUAGAAAAAUCAGAAUCAAGUUGUGGGUGGAAAAAUCAAUGUGGCCUUUGAGUUCAGUUGUUAUAAACCAUUGUGAUUGUUGUUGGUCAAAGUAUUGGUACUUAUAUUGUUAGUAAUUGCAUCAUAAUUACAUUACCAGUGUUGGAAAACUAAUGAAGAAAACACUGUAACUGCUACUCAGCAAAUGUGAAUAAAAGGUGUUUGCAUUGUUAGGAUGUCUGUUAAGUAAUCAUUUAAUAUUAUUAUAUUGGUAAUGUGGUUAUAUGUGUGAUGUUAUGCCCAGAAUAUGAAGUAUCUGUUUUUGAAAUUCACUUUAUUUAA
rnacentral:sRNA from 1 species